GCGGGUGUGUGUGUGGGAGGGGCACAGCAGGGAGGGGCUUUCCGUGGCCCCACCACCAAGGCAUGGUGUACAGUACACCUAAAACCUAGGUCAAUCUAGCUGCCACUCAGAGCUAUGAAAAAUUUUGCUCCUAAGGCACCAUAGUUAUGUCAGCAGCCUACCCUACACGUAGAUGAAGCUAGGUACAAUGAAGAAUUCUUGCAUCCACCCAUUACCGCCUCAGGAUGGGGUGGUUCUACUAGUGCACAGAAAAUCCCUUCCAUGCAUCUCUGAAAUAAGGAAGACAGAAUUAAUACAAUUUCUGGGAAGUACUGUGGGCAGCAGAGAGUGAAAAGAGACCAGAAUGAGAAGGAAAGACUGAGCAGAAAGAAGGAAGGAGGAGAUGGGGUGCAGCGGAAUUCUGAACUCCCCUUAACAGACACUGACCGAGGGACUCUUGGAGUGAGGACACUGUGGUCAGGAUUUGUGUACAGGUUUUGUUGUUUUCCCGCACAGCUGUGUAUCUCUUGUGCCUCUCUGCAUAAAGUAUGGCUGGUUUAGAA